ACCAUCCUUUUCUUGGGGUUGCGCUACUGUCCAAUAAGCGCACAGUGAGGGCAGUACUGCUAAUGCGAACACAACACGCCUGCAUCAACUAGAGCUUUGCUUUGCCUUGGGGCAAUUUGGGGAAAA
rnacentral:ncRNA from 1 species